GAUGAAGAACGCAGCGAAAUGCGAUAAGUAAUGUGAAUUGCAGAAUUCAGUGAAUCAUCGAAUCUUUGAACGCAUCUUGCGCUCCUUGGCAUUCUGAGGAGCAUGCCUGUUUGAGUGUCAUUAAAUUCUCAACUACACUGACUUUGAAUUGGUGUGGCUUGGAUUUGGGGGGAAAAUUGUUGUGGGCUUUUUGUAUAGUCUGCUCCCCUGAAAUUGAUUAGCGGUACCUUUGUGGAACUGUCUACAGGUGUGAUAAUUAUCUACAUCUUAGACAUCUGCUGGAAUGCUGCUCUCUAAACCUUACUUGUAUUGACAAUCUUGACCUCAAAUCAGGUAGGACUACCCGCUGAACUUAAGCAUAUCAAUAAGCGGAGGA
rnacentral:misc_RNA from 1 species